CUCCUGGAAACGGGUGGUAAUGCCGGAUGCUCCGCCCCCUCGCAUGGGGGGUCGGGAAGGCUUUCGCGGAAUGGGAUGGGGUCGCGUCCUAUCAGCUUGUUGGCGGGGCGACGGCCCACCAAGGCUUCGACGGGUAGCCGGCCUGAGAGGGCGACCGGCCACAUUGGGACUGAGAUACGGCCCAGACUCCUACGGGAGGCAGCAGUGGGGAAUAUUGCACAAUGGGGGGAACCCUGAUGCAGCGACGCCGCGUGCGGGAUGGAGGCCUUCGGGUCGUGAACCGCUUUUGAUUGGGAGCAAGCGUGAGUGAGUGUACCUUUCGAAUAAGCACCGGCUAACUACGUGCCAGCAGCCGCGGUAAUACGUAGGGUGCAAGCGUUGUCCGGAAUCAUUGGGCGUAAAGGGCUCGUAGGCGGUUCGUCGCGUCCGGUGUGAAAGCCCAUCGCUUAACGGUGGGUCUGCGCCGGGUACGGGCGGGCUUGAGUGCGGCAGGGGAGGCUGGAAUUCCCGGUGUAACGGUGGAAUGUGUAGAUAUCGGGAAGAACACC
rnacentral:rRNA from 1 species